CAGUCGCCACGGUAAUACGUAGGGUGCAAGCGUUAAUCGGAAUUACUGGGCGGAAAGCGUGCGCAGGCGGUUAUGUAAGUCAGAUGUGAAAUCCCCGGGCUCAACCUGGGAACUGCAUUUGAGACUGUAUGGCUAGAGUGUGUCAGAGGGGGGUAGAAUUCCACGUGUAGCAGUGAAAUGCGUAGAUAUGUGGAGGAAUACCGAUGGCGAAGGCAGCCCCCUGGGAUAACACUGACGCUCAUGCACGAAAGCGUGGGGAGCAAAUAGGAUUAGAUACCCGAGUAGUCCCUGUCUCUUAUAC
rnacentral:rRNA from 1 species